AGAACGAACGCUGGCGGCAGGCUUAACACAUGCAAGUCGAACGCAUCCUUCGGGGUGAGUGGCAGACGGGUGAGUAACGCGUGGGAACAUGCCCUUCAGUUCGGAAUAACCCAGGGAAACUUGGGCUAAUACCGGAUACGUGCGAGAGCAGAAAGAUUUAUCGCUGAAGGAGUGGCCCGCGUCUGAUUAGCUAGUUGGUGAGGUAAAGGCUCACCAAGGCGACGAUCAGUAGCUGGUCUGAGAGGAUGAUCAGCCACACUGGGACUGAGACACGGCCCAGACUCCUACGGGAGGCAGCAGUGGGGAAUAUUGGACAAUGGGCGCAAGCCUGAUCCAGCCAUGCCGCGUGAGUGAUGAAGGCCUUAGGGUUGUAAAGCUCUUUCGGCGGGGACGAUAAGUGACGGUACCCGCAGAAGAAGCCCGGCUAACUUCGUGCCAGCAGCCGC
rnacentral:rRNA from 1 species